CGGUUAAGUUAGAAAGGGCGCACGGUGGAUGCCUUGGCACUAGGAGCCGAUGAAGGACGGGACGAACACCGAUAUGCUUCGGGGAGCUGUAAGCAAGCUUUGAUCCGGAGAUUUCCGAAUGGGGAAACCCACCACUCGUAAUGGAGUGGUAUCCAUAUCUGAAUACAUAGGAUAUGAGAAGGCAGACCCGGGGAACUGAAACAUCUAAGUACCCGGAGGAAGAGAAAGCAAAUGCGAUUCCCUGAGUAGCGGCGAGCGAAACGGGAACAGCCCAAACCAAGAGGCUUGCCUCUUGGGGUUGUAGGACACUCUGUACGGAGUUACAAAGGAACGAGGUAGAUGAAGAGGUCUGGAAAGGCCCGCCAUAGAAGGUAACAGCCCUGUAGUCAAAACUUCGUUCUCUCCUGAGUGGAUCCUGAGUACGGCGGAACACGUGAAAUUCCGUCGGAAUCCGGGAGGACCAUCUCCCAAGGCUAAAUACUCCCUAGUGACCGAUAGUGAACCAGUACCGUGAGGGAAAGGUGAAAAGCACCCCGGAAGGGGAGUGAAAGAGAUCCUGAAACCGUGUGCCUACAAGUAGUCAGAGCCCGUUAACGGGUGAUGGCGUGCCUUUUGUAGAAUGAACCGGCGAGUUACGAUCCCGUGCAAGGUUAAGCAGAAGAUGCGGAGCCGCAGCGAAAGCGAGUCUGAAUAGGGCGAAUUGAGUACGUGGUCGUAGACCCGAAACCAGGUGAUCUACCCAUGUCCAGGGUGAAGUUCAGGUAACACUGAAUGGAGGCCCGAACCCACGCACGUUGAAAAGUGCGGGGAUGAGGUGUGGGUAGGGGUGAAAUGCCAAUCGAACCUGGAGAUAGCUGGUUCUCUCCGAAAUAGCUUUAGGGCUAGCCUCAAGGUAAGAGUCUCGGAGGUAGAGCACUGAUUGGACUAGGGGCCCCUACCGGGUUACCGAAUUCAGUCAAACUCCGAAUGCCGAUGACUUAUCCUUGGGAGUCAGACUGCGAGUGAUAAGAUCCGUAGUCGAAAGGGAAACAGCCCAGACCGCCAGCUAAGGUCCCAAAGUAUACGUUAAGUGGAAAAGGAUGUGGAGUUGCUUAGACAACCAGGAUGUUGGCUUAGAAGCAGCCACCAUUUAAAGAGUGCGUAAUAGCUCACUGGUCGAGUGACUCUGCGCCGAAAAUGUACCGGGGCUAAACGUAUCACCGAAGCUGCGGACUGUUCUUCGAACAGUGGUAGGAGAGCGUUCUAAGGGCUGUGAAGCAAGACCGGAAGGACUUGUGGAGCGCUUAGAAGUGAGAAUGCCGGUAUGAGUAGCGAAAGAGGGGUGAGAAUCCCCUCCACCGAAUGCCUAAGGUUUCCUGAGGAAGGCUCGUCCGCUCAGGGUUAGUCGGGACCUAAGCCGAGGCCGAAAGGCGUAGGCGAUGGAUAACAGGUUGAUAUUCCUGUACCACCUCCUCACCAUUUGAGCAAUGGGGGGACGCAGGAGGAUAGGGUAAGCGCGGUAUUGGAUAUCCGCGUCCAAGCAGUUAGGCUGGGAAAUAGGCAAAUCCGUUUCCCGUGAAGGCUGAGCUGUGAUGGCGAGCGAAUUAUAGUAGCGAAGUUCCUGAUUCCACACUGCCAAGAAAAGCCUCUAGCGAGGUGAGAGGUGCCCGUACCGCAAACCGACACAGGUAGGCGAGGAGAGAAUCCUAAGGUGAUCGAGAGAACUCUCGUUAAGGAACUCGGCAAAAUGACCCCGUAACUUCGGGAGAAGGGGUGCUCUGUUAGGGUGCAAGCCCGAGAGAGCCGCAGUGAAUAGGCCCAGGCGACUGUUUAGCAAAAACACAGGUCUCUGCGAAGCCGUAAGGCGAAGUAUAGGGGCUGACGCCUGCCCGGUGCUGGAAGGUUAAGAGGAGCGCUUAGCGUAAGCGAAGGUGCGAAUUGAAGCCCCAGUAAACGGCGGCCGUAACUAUAACGGUCCUAAGGUAGCGAAAUUCCUUGUCGGGUAAGUUCCGACCCGCACGAAAGGCGCAACGAUCUGGGCACUGUCUCAACGAGAGACUCGGUGAAAUUAUAGUACCUGUGAAGAUGCAGGUUACCCGCGACAGGACGGAAAGACCCCGUGGAGCUUUACUGCAGCCUGAUAUUGAAUGUUGGUACAGCUUGUACAGGAUAGGUAGGAGCCUUGGAAACCGGAGCGCCAGCUUCGGUGGAGGCAUCGGUGGGAUACUACCCUGGCUGUAUUGACCUUCUAACCCGCCGCCCUUAUCGGGCGGGGAGACAGUGUCAGGUGGGCAGUUUGACUGGGGCGGUCGCCUCCUAAAAGGUAACGGAGGCGCCCAAAGGUUCCCUCAGAAUGGUUGGAAAUCAUUCGCAGAGUGUAAAGGCACAAGGGAGCUUGACUGCGAGACCUACAAGUCGAGCAGGGACGAAAGUCGGGCUUAGUGAUCCGGUGGUUCCGCAUGGAAGGGCCAUCGCUCAACGGAUAAAAGCUACCCCGGGGAUAACAGGCUUAUCUCCCCCAAGAGUCCACAUCGACGGGGAGGUUUGGCACCUCGAUGUCGGCUCAUCGCAUCCUGGGGCUGUAGUCGGUCCCAAGGGUUGGGCUGUUCGCCCAUUAAAGCGGUACGCGAGCUGGGUUCAGAACGUCGUGAGACAGUUCGGUCCCUAUCCGUCGCGGGCGCAGGAAAUUUGAGAGGAGCUGUCCUUAGUACGAGAGGACCGGGAUGGACGCACCGCUGGUGUACCAGUUGUUCUGCCAAGGGCAUCGCUGGGUAGCUAUGUGCGGACGGGAUAAGUGCUGAAAGCAUCUAAGCAUGAAGCCCCCCUCAAGAUGAGAUUUCCCAUUCCGCAAGGAAGUAAGAUCCCUGAAAGAUGAUCAGGUUGAUAGGUCUGAGGUGGAAGUGUGGCGACACAUGGAGCUGACAGAUACUAAUCGAUCGAGGACUUAACCAAUUU
rnacentral:rRNA from 1 species